rnacentral:misc_RNA from 1 species
CUACCUCCCAGGUUCCUCAAAAAAUUUCCAGUGAUUGAAUACGAUGUUGAAAAAUCAACAUAACUUAGUUUGCGAAAUCCCUUCACAAGUAUGCGAACUUUUACAAUCAUGCAGCUUAAACCCUCUGAGAGCCAGUGAGGUUAAUUUUGGGCAAUUAUUUACUAGAUCCACACAGGUUGGCGAUUUCAGACUCUCAUCUCUUCCUGUUUUUGAAGACU